GACGAACGCUGGCGGCGUGCUUAACACAUGCAAGUCGAACGGAAAGGCCCUGCUUUUGUGGGGUGCUCGAGUGGCGAACGGGUGAGUAACACGUGAGUAACCUGCCCUUGACUUUGGGAUAACUUCAGGAAACUGGGGCUAAUACCGGAUAGGAGCUCCUGCUGCAUGGUGGGGGUUGGAAAGUUUCGGCGGUUGGGGAUGGACUCGCGGCUUAUCAGCUUGUUGGUGGGGUAGUGGCUUACCAAGGCUUUGACGGGUAGCCGGCCUGGGAGGGUGACCGGCGACAUUGGGACUGAGAUACGGACCAGACGGCAACGGGAGGCAGCAGUGGGGAAUAUUGCACAAUGGGCGGAAGCCGGAGGCAGAAACGCCGGGUGCGGGAUGACGGCCUGCGGGUUGUAAAACGCUUUCGCCUGUGACGAAGCGUGAGUGACGGUAAUGGGUAAAGAAGCACCGGCUAACUACGUG
rnacentral:rRNA from 1 species